CGAUGUCUAGGGGAUCUGAGAGGAUGACCCCCCACACUGGUACUGAGACACGGACCAGACUCCUACGGGAGGCAGCAGUAAGGAAUAUUGGUCAAUGGAGGCAACUCUGAACCAGCCAUGCCGCGUGCAGGAAGACAGCCCUCUGGGUCGUAAACUGCUUUUAUCUGGGAAUAAACCUUUGCUCGUGAGCAGAGCUGAAUGUACCAGAGGAAUAAGGAUCGGCUAACUCCGUGCCAGCAGCCGCGGUAAUACGGAUGAUCCAAGCGUUAUCCGGAUUUAUUGGGUUUAAAGGGUGCGUAGGCGGCCUGUUAAGUCAGGGGUGAAAGACGGUAGCUCAACUAUCGCAGUGCCCUUGAUACUGACGGGCUUGAAUGAACUAGAGGUAGGCGGAAUGUGACAAGUAGCGGUGAAAUGCAUAGAUAUGUCACAGAACACCGAUUGCGAAGGCAGCUUACUAUGGUUUUAUUGACGCUGAGGCACGAAAGCGUGGGGAUCAAACAGGAUUAGAUACCCUGGUAGUCCACGCCCUAAACGAUGAAUACUCGCUGUUAGCGAUAUACAGUUAGCGGCUAAGCGAAAGCGUUAAGUAUUCCACCUGGGGAGUACGCCCGCAAGGGUGAAACUCAAAGGAAUUGACGGGGGCCCGCACAAGCGGAGGAGCAUGUGGUUUAAUUCGAUCAUACGCGAGGAACCUUACCCGGGCUUGAAAGUUAGUGAAGUAUCCAGAGAUGGGUACGUCCGCAAGGACACGAAACUAGGUGCUGCAUGGCUGUCGUCAGCUCGUGCCGUGAGGUGUUGGGUUAAGUCCCGCAACGAGCGCAACCCCUAUGUUUAGUUGCCAGCACGUAAUGGUGGGGACUCUAAACAGACUGCCUGUGCAAACAGAGAGGAAGGAGGGGACGACGUCAAGUCAUCAUGGCCCUUACGUCCGGGGCUACACACGUGCUACAAUGGACGGUACAGAGGGCAGCUAGCCAGCAAUGGUAUGCCAAUCUCAAAAAGCCGUUCACAGUUCGGAUAGAGGUCUGCAACUCGACCUCUUGAAGUUGGAUUCGCUAGUAAUCGCAGAUCGGCAAUGCUGCGGUGAAUACGUUCCCGGGCCUUGUACACACCGCCCGUCAAGCCAUGGAAGUUGGGGGUACCUAAAGUACGUAACCGCAAGGAGCGUCCUAGGGUAAAACCGAUAACUGGGGCUAAGUCGGAACAAGGUA
rnacentral:rRNA from 1 species